rnacentral:rRNA from 1 species
UACGAAGGGGGCUAGCGUUGCUCGGAAUCACUGGGCGUAAAGGGUGCGUAGGCGGGUCUUUAAGUCGGUGGUGAAAUCCUGGAGCUCAACUCCAGAACUGCCUUCGAUACUGGGAGUCUUGAGUUCGGGAGAGGUGAGUGGAACUGCGAGUGUAGAGGUGAAAUUCGUAGAUAUUCGCAAGAACACCAGUGGCGAAGGCGGCUCACUGGCCCGAUACUGACGCUGAGGUGCGAAAGCGUGGGGAGCAAACAGG